rnacentral:rRNA from 2 species
UUGUACUGUGAAACUGCGAAUGGCUCAUUAAAUCAGUUAUCGUUUAUUUGAUAGUACCUUACUACAUGGAUACCUGUGGUAAUUCUAGAGCUAAUACAUGCUAAAAACCCCGACUUCAGGAAGGGGUGUAUUUAUUAGAUAAAAAACCAACGCCCUUCGGGGCUCCUUGGUGAAUCAUAAUAACUUAACGAAUCGCAUGGCCUUGCGCCGGCGAUGGUUCAUUCAAAUUUCUGCCCUAUCAACUUUCGAUGGUAGGAUAGUGGCCUACCAUGGUGGCAACGGGUAACGGGGAAUUAGGGUUCGAUUCCGGAGAGGGAGCCUGAGAAACGGCUACCACAUCCAAGGAAGGCAGCAGGCGCGCAAAUUACCCAAUCCCGAUACGGGGAGGUAGUGACAAUAAAUACUGAUACGGGGCUCUUUUGGGUCUCGUAAUUGGAAUGAGAACAAUUUAAAUCCCUUAACGAGGAACAAUUGGAGGGCAAGUCUGGUGCCAGCAGCCGCGGUAAUUCCAGCUCCAAUAGCGUAUAUUAAAGUUGUUGCAGUUAAAAAGCUCGUAGUUGAACCUUGGGCCUGGCUGGCCGGUCCGCCUCACCGCGAGUACUGGUCCGGCUGGGCCUUUCCUUCUGGGGAACCUCAUGGCCUUCACUGGCUGUGGGGGGAACCAGGACUUUUACUGUGAAAAAAUUAGAGUGUUCAAAGCAGGCCUUUGCUCGAAUACAUUAGCAUGGAAUAAUAGAAUAGGACGUGUGGUUCUAUUUUGUUGGUUUCUAGGACCGCCGUAAUGAUUAAUAGGGAUAGUCGGGGGCGUCAGUAUUCAGCUGUCAGAGGUGAAAUUCUUGGAUUUGCUGAAGACUAACUACUGCGAAAGCAUUCGCCAAGGAUGUUUUCAUUAAUCAGGGAACGAAAGUUAGGGGAUCGAAGACGAUCAGAUACCGUCGUAGUCUUAACCAUAAACUAUGCCGACUAGGGAUCGGACGGGAUUCUAUAAUGACCCGUUCGGCACCUUACGAGAAAUCAAAGUUU